rnacentral:lncRNA from 1 species
UGGCACUGCAGCUUCAGCACAAUCUUCUUGGUGGUUUUUGCCUAAAAAACGUCACAACUUUAGCAUUGCACAGGUGCUUUUAAUCUUUAUCAGACAAUACACUAGACAGGAUUAGGCACACCAUAAGUACAUGGCAAUGAAUUGGUAGACAAAUCAGACAAACUGUAGUGAAGCACAUAGAUCAUGUUUGCAGGUCAAUAGGCAAUCACAAGAACCAAUGCUGCAAUACCUUCUUGUGGAAGACAGGCUUGGUCUGACCACCAUAUCCCGACUGCUUCCUGUCAUAACGACGUUUUCCCUGGGCAGAC